AUUGAACGCUGGCGGCAGGCCUAACACAUGCAAGUCGAGCGGAUGAAGGGAGCUUGCUCCUGGAUUCAGCGGCGGACGGGUGAGUAAUGCCUAGGAAUCUGCCUGGUAGUGGGGGAUAACGUCCGGAAACGGGCGCUAAUACCGCAUACGUCCUGAGGGAGAAAGUGGGGGAUCUUCGGACCUCACGCUAUCAGAUGAGCCUAGGUCGGAUUAGCUAGUGGGUGGGGUAAAGGCCUACCAAGGCGACGCUCCGUAACUGGUCUGAGAGGAUGAUCAGUCACACUGGAACUGAGACACGGUCCAGACUCCUACGGGAGGCAGCAGUGGGGAAUAUUGGACAAUGGGCGAAAGCCUGAUCCAGCCAUGCCGCGUGUGUGAAGAAGGUCUUCGGAUUGUAAAGCACUUUAAGUUGGGAGGAAGGGCAGUAAGUUAAUACCUUGCUGUUUUGACGUUACCAACAGAAUAAGCACCGGCUAACUUCGUG
rnacentral:rRNA from 1 species